rnacentral:tRNA from 1 species
GGGGUUGUGGCUCAGUGGCAGAGCUCUUGCCUAGCAUGUAUGAGGCACUGGGUUCAAUUCUCAGCACCACA